rnacentral:rRNA from 1 species
CUACGUGCCAGCAGCCGCGGUAAUACGGAGGGUGCGAGCGUUAAUCGGAAUAACUGGGCGUAAAGGGCACGCAGGCGGUGACUUAAGUGAGGUGUGAAAGCCCCGGGCUUAACCUGGGAAUUGCAUUUCAUACUGGGUCGCUAGAGUACUUUAGGGAGGGGUAGAAUUCCACGUGUAGCGGUGAAAUGCGUAGAGAUGUGGAGGAAUACCGAAGGCGAAGGCAGCCCCUUGGGAAUGUACUGACGCUCAUGUGCGAAAGCGUGGGGAGCAAACAGGAUUAGAUACCCUGGUAGUCCACGCUGUAAACGAUGUCGAUUUGGGGGUUGAACUUUAAGUUUGGCGCCCGUAGCUAACGUGAUAAAUCGACCGCCUGGGGAGUACGGCCGCAAGGUUAAAACUCAAAUGAAUUGACGGGGGCCCGCACAAGCGGUGGAGCAUGUGGUUUAAUUCGAUGCAACGCGAAGAACCUUACCUGGUCUUGACAU